CUUCAUGUCAAAUGGUGCCUACGAGUACGACAUGUAUGAAAAGUUAUAAAGUUAAUAUUUUGAAAUGUAUAACUUGAUCACGAAUGCACCUAUGACACCUAUUGAGUUUUUCAACUCACGGGUUUAAUCUCAUCUCUACAGAUUGAAGGAAUUUUACCUCGGGCAUGGAUGGAGGAGAAGAUGGAGAGUGAUGCAACGAGCCCA
rnacentral:lncRNA from 1 species